GGUCGGUAAGCUCAAUUGGUAGAGCGGAAGUUUGAAACACUUCGCGUAGGGGGUUCGAUUCCCUCACCGACCACUA
rnacentral:tRNA from 1 species